rnacentral:rRNA from 1 species
AAGUAAAAAUUUAAAUUUGUUUUGGGAAAACGUAGGGUUAUUAGAAAUAACUUUAGGGGUUAGUUUUAGUAUAGGAAUAGAAUAAAUUGAUUUAUUGAUAGUGAAUUAGUAUUGUGAAAGAAAAUUGAAAAAUUUUGAAAAUGAUGUUUUUGUAUAGUAGAAUUUUUUUGUACCUUGUGUAUCAGGGUUUAUUAAAAUAAAGAUUGGGACUUAAUCUUUUCCCGAAUUAAAAAGAGCUAACCUAUCAUUCUAGUUAAUAUGUUAUGAUUAUUAGUAAUGGUGGGUUGGUAGUGAAAUGUUAGUCGGUUUUUAAGAUAUCUGGUUCCCUAAGAAAUGAAUUUAAUUCAGCACUAGCUGGUUCUCCACAAUUUUGUGUGUGGGUCACUUAGUUGGGCGUAAUAUUUUAAGGGAUAAGCUUUGGAAUAGAUUUUAUAAGUGUUAUGAACAUAUUAAAAAUUGUAGGCUUUAAAUUAGCUAUCAUUUGAAUAGUGUUAUAAAUUAUUUUAUUGUAAUAUGAUUUUAUAAUAGGUUAAGUAAUAUAUUAGGGUGAGUUAAUAAAUUAAAUUUUAAUUGCAAUAAUGAUGGAAUUAGUAUAUAAUUAUGUGAAUAAUUUUCGGUUGGGUAAUUUAUAUGAAGGAACUAGGCAAAUAAUAGUGUUCGCCUGUUUAUCAAAAACAUGUCCUUUUGGGUAAAUUUUAAGGUCGGACCUGCCCCCUGACAUUGUUGUUAAAGGGCCGCGGUAUUUUGACCGUGCAAAGGUAGCAUAAUCAUUAGUCUUUUAAUUGAAGGCUGGUAUGAAUGGUUUGACGAAGCAUUAACUGUCUCCGUAUAAUAAAUAAAAUUUAACUUUUGAGUCAAAAGGCUUAGAUGACUAUAAAAGACGAGAAGACCCUAUAGAUCUUUAUAUGAAAUUAUGGUUGUUUUGUUUAGUGGUGGUGGUAACAGCUAUGAUGUUGUAUUUUGUUGGGGUGACAUGAAGAUACAAGUAACUCUUUGAAUUAUAAACAUUGAUUUAUGAAUAAUUGAUCCGUUCUUAACGAUUAUAAGAUAAAGUUACCUUAGGGAUAACAGCGUAAUUUUUUUUGAGAGUUCUUAUCGACAAGAAAGAUUGCGACCUCGAUGUUGGAUUAAGGAAUAUGAUUAGGUGUAGAAGUUUAAUUAAUAAGUCUGUUCGACUUUUAAAUCCUUACAUGAUCUGAGUUCAGACCGGCGUAAGCCAGGUCGGUUUCUAUCUUUAUAUUAUUAAGAUACUUUAGUACGAAAGGACCAAGUAUUUAAAAUAAUUUUUGAGCGAUGAUAAAUAAUAAU